UAAUUGAAGAGUUUGAUCAUGGCUCAGAUUGAACGCUGGCGGCAGGCCUAACACAUGCAAGUCGAGCGGUAACAGGGGAAGCUUGCUUCUCGCUGACGAGCGGCGGACGGGUGAGUAAUGUAUGGGGAUCUGCCCGAUAGAGGGGGAUAACUACUGGAAACGGUGGCUAAUACCGCAUAAUCUCUUAGGAGCAAAGCAGGG
rnacentral:rRNA from 1 species